CUGCCCAAGACACAGGAAUAACCAGUGGAAACGCUGGCUAAUGCCUGAUGAUGUGCCAGCCUUGCGGGGCUUGUACCAAAGGUAGCUUCGGCCUCCGGUCUUGGAUGAGCCCGCGUCCCAUUAGCUUGUUGGUGAGGUAACGGCUCACCAAGGCGACGAUGGGUAGCUGGUCUGAGAGGACGAUCAGCCACACUGGGACUGAGACACGGCCCAG
rnacentral:rRNA from 1 species